UAAGAACGGACCUCCGGAAUGAAUUAAGUACUUAACCUGAGGUACCACUGUACUUUCUUUUGUUCCUUGUUUUCCCCCCUUUAUGCAUUCUUUUGAAGGACUUUUGGUAACAACUGUGAAUCAAGGCUCUUCUUUGAGAUCUGUAUAUAUGAAGAAACCUCUCACCAGGCAGUUUUCCCAAGUCCUAUGCAAAGAUUUGGGAGUUUCUAUGUUUCUAAAAUGAGAGACUGUAUUCUUCCAAGCAUAUAUUCAUAUUCACCUGCUCUGUAUCCACUCUUCAUGUGCAUUGGGGAGGAAUUUGGACCCCAGGAAGAGCAUCUAAUAUUCAGAUUUUCCUUCACAGCAAUGAGGUCUCUCAUGAUUGCUAUAUGCUGUGAUCUACAUGCAUAUAUUCUGAAGACUAUGCAUUUGUUAGCACUUACCACACAGAAACACAAUAAAGGAAAAAUGACAAGAGAAAUGCUCCCUCCACUGAUGUUUGUUUCUCCCCCUCACCCCCAGCCAAUAUUGCACCAAAAUUAAGGGAAUAAUUUUUUUAAACUAAGUAUAUUCUGUAAAGAAACCUCACAUAAUUUUGUACUUCCUGUGUGUUAAAAAUAGUAUUGUAUUCUCAGGUAAAAGCAUAAUAAACAAUCUACCAAACAUUAAAAAUGGUUUCAGACUGACAAUUUGUCUAACACCCAUCUUCUUUAAUUGUUACAAGUUUAGUAUACUGUGACUAAUAAGUUGGUGGGACAGGGUCAUGUAACUGUAAAAUAUGCCUGGUAAUUAAACGUUGUACUUAAUUAGGUUAA